GGAAAAUAGGGAAAACACUGGCAGCUAUGAUGCUAUUAAUGUCAUCCUUAACCAUGACUUCUCGGAAGAGUUGCACUUGUGGCGCACCAAUUGCUGCAAUGCUUUUGUGGUUCCAGCGGGUUCUGGUAACUAUAAAGGAACUGCAGAAGAUGUAGGCUGUUCUUAUGCUGUUGUCACGAAUCGCACGGAAUGUUGGCAAGGGUUGGAGCAAGAUAUUACAAGUAGAAUUUCAGCUGGUUGUGACUACACAGUUUCUGCUUGUGUUGGAGUCUCUGGUACUUUUCAUGGUUCUACUGACGUCCUGGCUACGUUGAGACUUGUUUACCAAAAUGCAAAUACAGACUAUU
rnacentral:misc_RNA from 1 species